UGCCAUAAGAUGAGCCCAAGUGGGAUUAGGUAGUUGGUGGGGUAAAGGCCUACCAAGCCGACGAUCUCUAGCUGGUCUGAGAGGAUGACCAGCCACACUGGAACUGAGACACGGUCCAGACUCCUACGGGAGGCAGCAGUGGGGAAUAUUGCACAAUGGGGGGAACCCUGAUGCAGCCAUGCCGCGUGAAUGAAGAAGGCCUUCGGGUUGUAAAGUUCUUUCGGUGAUGAGGAAGGGUGGUGUUUUAAUAGAGCAUUACAUUGACGUUAGUCACAGAAGAAGCACCGGCUAACUCCGUGCCAGCAGCCGCGGUAAUACGGAGGGUGCGAGCGUUAAUCGGAAUGACUGGGCGUAAAGGGCACGCAGGCGGUGACUUAAGUGAGAUGUGAAAGCCCCGAGCUUAACUUGGGAAUUGCAUUUCAUACUGGGUUGCUAGAGUAUUUUAGGGAGGGGUAGAAUUCCACGUGUAGCGGUGAAAUGCGUAGAGAUGUGGAGGAAUACCGAAGGCGAAGGCAGCCCCUUGGGAAAAUACUGACGCUCAUGUGCGAAAGCGUGGGGAGCAAACAGGAUUAGAUACCCUGGUAGUCCACGCUGUAAACGCUGUCGAUUUGGGGAUUGGGCUUUAUGUUUGGUGCCCGUAGCUAACGUGAUAAAUCGACCGCCUGGGGAGUACGGCCGCAAGGUUAAAACUCAAAUGAAUUGACGGGGGCCCGCACAAGCGGUGGAGCAUGUGGUUUAAUUCGAUGCAACGCGAAGAACCUUACCUACUCUUGACAUCCUAAGAAG
rnacentral:rRNA from 1 species